rnacentral:misc_RNA from 1 species
GAUGAAGAACGCAGCGAAAUGCGAUAAGUAAUGUGAAUUGCAGAAUUCAGUGAAUCAUCGAAUCUUUGAACGCACCUUGCGCUCUUUGGUAUUCCGAAGAGCAUGCCUGUUUGAGUGUCAUGAAAAUAUCAACCUUGACUUGGGUUUUGUGCUCUAGUCUCGGCUUGGAAUUGGGUGCUUGCCGCUUUUACGAGCGGCUCACCUUAAAUGUAUUAGCUGGAUCUGUCUAUGAGACUUGGUUUGACUUGGCGUAAUAAGUAUUUCGCUAAGGACAUUCUUCGGAGUGGCCUCGUUUCUAGGACGCUUGUCCGCUUUCCAAUACAAGUUCCACCUCGUGGACAUGACUUUUUAUUAUCUGGCCUCAAAUCAGGUAGGACUACCCGCUGAACUUAAGCAUAUCAAUAAGCGGAGGA